rnacentral:rRNA from 1 species
AUUGAACGCUGGCGGCAGGCCUAACACAUGCAAGUCGAACGGUAACAGGAAGCAGCUUGCUGCUUUGCUGACGAGUGGCGGACGGGUGAGUAAUGUCUGGGAAACUGCCUGAUGGAGGGGGAUAACUACUGGAAACGGUAGCUAAUACCGCAUAACGUCGCAAGACCAAAGAGGGGGACCUUCGGGCCUCUUGCCAUCGGAUGUGCCCAGAUGGGAUUAGCUAGUAGGUGGGGUAACGGCUCACCUAGGCGACGAUCCCUAACUGGUCUGAGAGGAUGACCAGCCACACUGGAACUGAGACACGGUCCAGACUCCUACGGGAGGCAGCAGUGGGGAAUAUUGCACAAUGGGCGCAAGCCUGAUGCAGCCAUGCCGCGUGUAUGAAGAAGGCCUUCGGGUUGUAAAGUACUUUCAGCGGGGAGGAAGGGAGUAAAGUUAAUACCUUUGCUCAUUGACGUUACCCGCAGAAGAAGCACCGGCUAACUCCGUG